CAGUCGCCGCGGGAAUACGAAGGGGGCUAGCGUUGUUCGGAAUCACUGGGCGUAAAGCGCACGUAGGCGGAUACUUAAGUCAGGGGUGAAAUCCCGGGGCUCAACUCCAGAACUGCCUUUGAUACUGAAGAUCUUGAGUUCGGGAGAGGUGAGUGGAACUGCGAGUGUAGAGGUGAAAUUCGUAGAUAUUCGCAAGAACACCAGUGGCGAAGGCGGCUCACUGGCCCGAUACUGACGCUGAGGCACGAAAGCGUGGGGAGCAAACAGGAUUAGAGACCCGUGUAGUCCCUGUCUCUUAUAC
rnacentral:rRNA from 1 species